CAGUCAAAUUUUCAUUAUAUUCCAGGACUCAAUUGGUCCUGGUUAUAACCAAAGCCUGACUUUA
ensembl:miRNA